GAUGAAGAACGCAGCGAAAUGCGAUAAGUAAUGUGAAUUGCAGAAUUCAGUGAAUCAUCGAAUCUUUGAACGCACAUUGCGCCCCCUGGUAUUCCGGGGGGCAUGCCUGUUCGAGCGUCAUUUCACCACUCAAGCCUCGCUUGGUAUUGGGCAACGCGGUCCGCCGCGUGCCUCAAAUCGACCGGCUGGGUCUUCUGUCCCCUAAGCGUUGUGGAAACUAUUCGCUAAAGGGUGUUCGGGAGGCUACGCCGUAAAACAACCCCAUUUCUAAGGUUGACCUCGGAUCAGGUAGGGAUACCCGCUGAACUUAAGCAUAUCAAUAAGCGGA
rnacentral:misc_RNA from 1 species